rnacentral:rRNA from 1 species
UACGAAGGGAGCUAGCGUUGUUCGGAAUCACUGGGCGUAAAGCGCACGUAGGCGGAUGUGUCAGUCAGGGGUGAAAUCCCGGAGCUCAACUUCGGAACUGCCUUUGAUACAGCACGUCUUGAGUCCGAUAGAGGUGGGUGGAAUUCCUAGUGUAGAGGUGAAAUUCGUAGAUAUUAGGAAGAACACCGGUGGCGAAGGCGGCCCACUGGAUCGGUACUGACGCUGAGGUGCGAAAGCGUGGGUAGCGAACAGG